rnacentral:rRNA from 1 species
GAUGAACGCUGGCGGCGUGCCUAAUACAUGCAAGUAGAACGCUGAAGGAGGAGCUUGCUCUUCUGGAUGAGUUGCGAACGGGUGAGUAACGCGUAGGUAACCUGCCUGGUAGCGGGGGAUAACUAUUGGAAACUAUAGCUAAUACCGCAUGACAACAGUUACUGCAUGAUAACUGUUUAAAAGGGGCAACUGUUCCACUACCAGAUGCACCUGCGUUGUAUUUACUAGUUGGUGAGGUAACGGCUCACCAAGGCGACGAUGCAUAGCAGACGAGAGAGGGAGAUCGGACACAACGGGCCGGAGACACGGCCCAGACUCCUACGGGAGGCAGCAGUAGGGAAUUUUCGGCAAUGGAGGGAAGACUGACCAAGCAACGCUGUAUGAGUGAGGAAGGAUUUCAGAGCGAGAAGUUGGGUUGUAGGGGUAGAACGAGUGUGAGAAUGGAAAGUUCACACUGUGACGGUAUCUUAGAAGAGAGGGACGGCUAAGUUCGUG